UACGGAGGGGCUAGCGUUGUUCGGAAUUACUGGGCGUAAAGCGCACGUAGGCGGCUUUGUAAGUCAGAGGUGAAAGCCCGGAGCUUAACUCCGGAAUUGCCUUUGAGACUGCAUCGCUCGAAUCCAGGAGAGGUGAGUGGAAUUCCGAGUGUAGAGGUGAAAUUCGUAGAUAUUCGGAGGAACACCGGUGGCGAAGGCGGCGCCCUGGCUCGCAACUGACGCUCA
rnacentral:rRNA from 1 species